rnacentral:rRNA from 1 species
AUCGUACCCCAAACCGACACAGGUGGUCAGGUAGAGAAUACCAAGGCGCUUGAGAGAACUCGGGUGAAGGAACUAGGCAAAAUGGUGCCGUAACUUCGGGAGAAGGCACGCUGAUAUGUAGGUGAAGCCCCUGCGGGCGGAGCUGAAAUCAGUCGAAGAUACCAGCUGGCUGCAACUGUUUAUUAAAAACACAGCACUGUGCAAACACGAAAGUGGACGUAUACGGUGUGACGCCUGCCCGGUGAUCGUACCCCAAACCGACACAGGUGGUCAGGUAGAGAAUACCAAGGCGCUUGAGAGAACUCGGGUGAAGGAACUAGGCAAAAUGGUGCCGUAACUUCGGGAGAAGGCACGCUGAUAGGUAGGUGAAGCCCCUGCGGGCGGAGCUGAAAUCAGUCGAAGAUACCAGCUGGCUGCAACUGUUUAUUAAAAACACAGCACUGUGCAAACACGAAAGUGGACGUAUACGGUGUGACGCCUGCCCGGUG